ACCACCACCAUACCAGGCUCCUUCCAUUCAGGAACCACCACAGCAGGGUCGACAGCGACAAAAAAGAGCCAAAAAAAAUAAAGAUUGCCCUCACAACCAGCUUGACAUGUUCCCAGUCACUGAAAUAAUAAAGACAAGGAUCAGAAAGGGGAGGACGGAACACCUUUAUGACUGGCAGCCCUGCACUCUAUGUGGAAAGACAUGGUCUCCAUCCUGGCAGCCAGCCUGACUACCUUCCCAUGCAGUCACCCUGCAAACAUCCAGGAUACAUUGCACACUUAAAAAGCAUGCUUACUAAUUCAUUUCUUU